rnacentral:lncRNA from 1 species
UCCACCACCAUUAUUGGUCUUCCUGCCUUCUCUCUAACCACGUUCUCCACCAUCAUUAUUGGUCCUCCAUUGUGCUAGAAUGACUACACCCACAAAUGCACAAUUCGAGCAAUAAGAUGGUUCAAGCAAAAUUGUAAAAAUAAUACUUUAAUCAUUCAAUUGUGUUUUUACCUUCAACCGUAGACGGCAAAAUGUGAUUGUGAGGUAUGUGUAUAUUAUUCAUCUAUUAUUUAAGCCGCAGAUCUUGUAUAUGAACUUCUGUAUAUGAUUUUUGAUAUGUAUUUAAUGUUCAAUUUUGACGUAUCUCAAUUUUGUAUCUUGAUGCAUAAUGUGUAUAUGAUCUUUGAAAAUGCAUGUAUGUUUUUUAGAUAUGAUUUUUUUACAUAUUUGGAAGCCACCCGUGCCCCCAAGGCUGCCCCCCACGACCUUGAGGCAGCCCAUGCCCGAGGCCACCCUCGCCCCAGCCCCGAAGCCGACCCCUUUACAAAGACUCGAGGCCGACCUCCCGCCUCCAAGGGCUCUCGAGGUCGGCCCCGCCUCCGAGGACCCUCGAGGCCUCUUUACCCUACCCUCAAGGCCUCGUGCUGUAAGGCUCCAUCCUCAAGGUAUCGCGCCACGAGGCCUUAUCACCCCACCCCUACCUUGAGGCAUCGCGCCCCGAGGCCCCCUCCCCUAUCUCGAGGCAUCACACCCUAGGGCCCCACCCCAACCUCCAGGUGUCGCGCCCCUAAUUCCCCCGUCCCAACCUCCAAGUGUCGCGCUCCCAGGUCCUCUUUGCCCCAACCUCGAGGCGUCGCCCCCUUCUCCCCCUCUAGGCCUCCAGGUCCCCCUCGCGCCGGCCUCCAGGCAUUGCGCCCAAGGCCACCACUUCCCCAAUGUCCAGGCGCGCACCCCAAGCCCUUCCUACCCUAUCAUCAAGGCGUCGCCCCCUGAGGCCUCCUCCAAGCCUCGAGGCGCCGCACCUCAAGGUACCCCCCAGAGCCUCGAGAUGUUGCACCCCAAGCCCCCCACCCUUGGCUAGAGGCAUCUUGCCCCGAGGCCCUCUUACUCCAAACCUUGAGGUGUCUCGCCCUGAGGAUUCCCCAGCCUCGAGGCAUCGCACCCCGAGGCCCCCAUCCCAUAAGCCUCGAGUGUCGCAUCUCCAAGCCCCCAUACCCCCACCCUCGAGCCCCCAGGCCCCACAAUCCCGGUCUCGAGGCGUCGCGCCACUUUUUCUAUUACGCUAUAGCGACUAACCAGUGUAAUUCAAGUCAAAAAGUGUGGGAGGUGGGACUCAUCAUUUUAUUUUAUUUUUAUUUAUUUAUUAAAAACAUUUCUUUUUAUCUUAUUGAGCUAUAUGUUCUAAAAAAUUAGAUGUCUUAUAAUUAGUAAUCAACUAAACAUGUUAUCAAAUCAUGAUUUGACAUAGAAGUAUUCACUCAAUGUUAGAGUAAAGAUGAUGUUACCAACUUGUCACGACCCAACUUCUCGAGCCAUGAAGGCACCUACUAUAAUCCACCAGUAGGUAAGCCAAACCGUAACCCAGAACAACACGUAAUAGGUGCGAGGGUAGAAACUAAACAAGACUAAGAAAAAUUACUAUAACAACAUAAGCAAACCAAAACAUAAAUACAAUUAAGGAUCCCUUUCAAAGCCUGGAACUCACUAAUACAGAGCUACCAACAAAACGAGUACAAGUCCCAACAGUGGACCACCGAAACUAGACUGUCUCGAAAAGUAAAAGACAAGUCUUUAUAUAAAUAGAUGGAGACUGAAAUAGUACAAAACGCUGUGUGCUCACCCCUGUCUCCAGAUCGGAAAUGCUCCAAACUCGAUCAACGCUGACUACUGGUGCUCGGACAUGCAUCACGAAAAUAGAUGCAGAGCGUAGCAUGAAUACCAAAUAACAGGUACCCAGUAGGCAUCAUAGGCCGACUGAACUAGAAAAGUAAAGCAAUAUGAAAAGACGGAAUCACAAAACUAGAGGUCAAGAACGGAAGGCUAAGUAACACUGUAAUGCACACGAGUGUAUAAAUAUCUAACUAAAUUAAUACAAAUAAGUUAACUACACCUAACUGGAGCCACCAUAAGUCCAGAAGGUACACUCAUGCGCAAGUUUAAAUAAAAACCCGAACGGACCCCCAUAAGCCCGACGAGUACACAAAAUAACUAUAACUUAAGGAGAAUAGAACUCGAGGCCAAAGAACACCGAACCAAAAAGUAGAAUCUGACGGUACGGAGGUCAGGCCUUGAACCGGAUGCUCACCAGAAUUACACAAGUAGCCAAUUUCAAAAUAUAAGUAAAUGAGGUCAGACCUCUAACCAGAUGCUCUACAUACUUGAGACCGGACCUCUAACCGGAUGCUCUAUAUAAGUAUGUGGAUGGUCGAGACCGGACCUUAAAUUCGAAUACCCGACAAAGAUGUCAAAUAGCUGUUGAAAGAGUCUUUAUCUAUCCAUAAUCAUAUAUACCCGUGGAACACCAUCCAUACUUAGCUAAUCAAUGUAAAUCUUUAAAGCCGAAUCGAAACUCAACUUUGAAUCACGGAGCAGAAUUCAUUGUCAUUGACGUAACUCGAGAAGCUGUAACAUCGAAGAAAUAAGAGUAACUAUCGCUGGAGCGAGCUCAUCGUCUAGAUAAAUACCAAACUAUCAGACUCAAGUUUGCUACAUCAGUCUACAAGGAUUUAAGCCGACUGAGCGACGUCGAGGCUAAACUAAGUCAUACCGACUUUGAAUCAUGCAUUUCUAAGGAAAACCCUAGUCAAACCUAAACUAAGGCCCAACAUACUUCUGAUAACCAGUAUUCAAACAUACAAGUAAUCCAUAUAGCAAAGAAGGUCAAUUAGUAACAAUAAACAUGCUCACAAUUACCCGAUAAUUCUCAGAAAAAGGCCGAAAAUAUGAUUUUUAACACCUAUGCAUGAUCCAAUAACUAACCAACCCAAAUCCCAACUAAUUAACAUGCAUUCACAUGUUCGAGUUCAAUCUAAGAAGAGAAACCGUAGCCUACCUGAACGCAGAUCACGCGCGCUCCAAAAUUCACUUCCCCGGAUCUUUUACUUUCUAAAAGGCCUCGAAAUAUUGAUACACUAUCAAAAAUAGAGUCACAACGUUAUUACGGUCAUUUAAACACUAAAAUCGCAAGAAACGGAGACGGGUCAAUUUUGCGGUCAAAAUGGAAAAAGUGGGAUUUGCGUUGAGAAAUUCAGAAUUAACCCCAAAUAAAAGUCCUAAACAACUCUCGGAACUUGUGAACCAGAAUGGAACACAAUUCAGGACUCAAGACAGUCCCAACAUGAACAUGCAACAAAAAACUCAAAUUCUACGCUAAAAAUCAGUAACAAUGGCAGCAGCUACUUACAAGAAUUUACCAAAAAUGAAGGUCCAACAGCCAAAACCAAUCACACCACGAUGAUCCUCAUGAAAAAUCUCACAAUAUAGGCUCUUGAAUCACUAGAUUCGGACCUAAAAUGGCCAAGAAAUCACCUUCUAAAAGUUUCCCAAAAGUUGAGCUCGAAAAUGAGCUAUAACAGCUGUUAAAACACAAAAUUUACCUCAAAUCGGGUACCCAAAUCAGAUUCCAAGCUCACCAAUGCGUUGCCCUCGAAAAAUCUCACAACUUAGCCUUUUGAAUCGCCCAAUUUGGAGUUCUAUUGCUCAAAAUAUCAAAAUUUUAAAGUAAAACACAAAGGCUGAAAAUUGGGUUUUUAUAAGGACGAAGCUGGUCGCUAAUAAACCCAAAAAUCUGGUCAUUAAAACCCCAAAUUCUGGUUGUUAAAGGGCUGCACCAGAUUUCAGCUUUGUGUAAUUUCUUUAAAGUCUCCGACGGGUGCUCGAAAUCCGUUCGAAACCUGAUAAAAAUAAAACAGAUAUGCUACCCUACCAAAGUUGACAUUCCCGACUCAAUGGCGCAGUCGAAAUUUCCAUCAGAGGUCAUCUCGAUUAAAAGUUCAAGAAGAUGACAUCAGAAUCCAAUUCUGACGAUUCCAUCAGUUUCGAAAGGGUCAUUUUAGGCUAGUAGCAUUGUCGACAUGACUCUCAAAGUUUUUAGUGUGAGUUGGUGUGAUUAGGAGUUUUAACUUUAAGUUAAAGGCUAAGUUUGACUUUAGUCAACAUUCUGAGUAAAUGCACUCGGAUGAGAAUUUCGUCAGAGCGGCUAGCUCCGGAAUGUUGAGUUUGGUCUAGUUUGACCCUUCUUUCAGAUUUUGAGGUUUUUGAUAUUUUUCCGAGCCCUUUUGUGAUUUUUGACUUAAAAUGGUCAAUGAAAGUGGGAUUGAUAAUAAAAUAUACAAAUUAGAAUAUAAAUAUUGGAUACCUAACAUGAAAAUAAAAAGAUUGAUAAUUAUAUUUACAAUUACUAGUGCUCGAACUUCACCAAUUUUAAUCAAAAAGUUUAAUAACAAAUACUUCAAAAGUUUUCAAAAUAAAAACUGAUUUAAUAGUAAUUCAUAACAAAGUAGAUAAUGAAUAUAUGUUGAAUAAUUUUUUUGUACUAAAAUAUCCUUCAUGUAUAAUUAUUGCCUAUGAUUUAAUUUAUUCUUCUUUCUGUUGUUAUUUUAUAACAUCUUAAAAUAGAUUCAGCACCAAGACCAAUCGUGAUAUAUGAACCUGAGAGUUGAUUGCUUUCUAUAGAAAAUGUUCAGUUGCUUAGAAAUAAUACUUGAAGUUAUAUAUGCAUAUAGCUGGAUUCAUCGAUUUAAAAUAUCCAUAAAACAGAUUAUAAAAAUCUGCUAGCAAAUGUUAAAUAGCUUACACACAGUUGAGUACAUCGAUGCAUACCUAUAUAUGAUUAGCUGAGUUGAGCUGUUUUUCUUUUUGCUCUUAUAAGAAAAAUUACUUUUAAUUUUUUAAUCAAUCAUUUGCUUGUUUGUUCUAGCACUGGUUAAUUUAGUUGAACUUAAACAAAUUGAACUGGAAUCGCCUAUCUAUGUAUGAUGCUAUGACUCGGAAAGGGUCAUAACAUCAUACACAACCCCUUUAGCUCAAUCUCAAAAUUUUAUUUUGGCACUUCAAUUCAACUUAGUUUUGUUCUAUUUUAACCCUCCAACUCAGAUAGAUUACUAAUACAAGUUUAUAAUAUAAAGGCAUAAUAUAUGCACUUAGACUUUGAGAGCAUACAAGUAGACACUUAAACUUGUAUAAAAUUAAAUAAGUAGGCACACAUGUUUUACGUGACAUAAUACACGUAAUACGUCACAUUAGAUGAAUGUGUUCAUUUCUUUAAUUUUAUACAAGUUUAAGGAUCUAUUUAUGCACCUCCAAUGUUGAAGGGUAUAUAUGCUGACUAAGGCAAGUUGAAAGACACAAUUACAUCAAAAGAAAAUAAAUGGAUAGAUAAAGUAGAUAUGAAGGAAAAAAUGGGGUUGAAGAGAAAAUAAAUAGAGGAGAAGGUUAUUAACAAUAAAAUAUUGAUUACUAACGCUAAAAAGGAUGCCUCAAACAUUUUUAAAUGUGAAUAAUUUUAUUAAUAUAUGCAGUUAGUAUUUUGUGUUUAAAUGAUAAAUUGGAAAUGAAGUGGGAGGGUUAAAAUGAAAAUAAAGUUGAGUUGAAUUGUCAAAAUAAAAUUUAGGGACAAGUUAAAAAGGCUAUGUAUUUGUCUGACCUUCGACUAGUCUAGGAUAGUCUUGCUAGAAGAUGCGCUUGAUCAAGACAAGACAGCGAAUGUUGAUUACAACUUUGUUAGAAAUUGGAUGGUAAUAAAGAGAUAAUGCAACUGAAAUUUUCUCAAAAAAAAAAAAAAAAGAGUGUUAUGAAACUGUAUAAAUUUACAAAAAGAAUAAAGUAAGGAGAAGAGAAAAACCUUCUUAUUCAUCUUAAAGUAUAUUCAGAAAUCAUAGAUCUUCUUUACAAUGAACGAAAAUCCUUUAUUUAUAGGGAAAAUCUGACUUGGUUCCCAAGUAGGAUUUCUAACCAUAUCCUAAAAGGACUCAAUAUAUUUAGACAUUUACUAUAACACAAAUAUGUUUAUAACACUCCCCCUUGAGUGUCGGUAGAUUAUGUGCAUCGUUAAAACCUUAUUAGAUAAAAUCAGUGAGAAAAAAAUUUAGUGAAGAAAAAGAGUACACAUAUCUAAAAAUACGAUUUAUGAAUGUCUCAUUAAAAACCUUACAAGGAAAACCCGAUGGAACAAAACCUUGUGAGGAAAAAAUAGUACAUCACAUAUUAACUUCCCCUAAUGAGAACGUCAAUCCAAAAACUUGAAUCUUCGUUCUCCAAGCUUGUGCACCAUCUUCUUGAAAGUUGUAGUUGGUAGAGACUUGGUGAAUAAAUCUAAUAAAAUAUUAUUUGAACAAACUUGUUGUAUGUUGAUAUCGUCAUUCUCGGGAGCUCAUGAGUGUAAAAAUACUUUGACGAAUUAUGCUUCCUUCUAUCUCCGUUUAUGAAUCUUUUUUUCAUAAUCAAAGAUUUCUGCAAGUUCCUUACUUCAACUUCUUUAAGCGAAGAGUUUCAAUUCUAGUCAUCAACUUGCAUAACAAUACUUGUAUGUACUUUAUGCAUUUUAAAUCAAUUUGUCCUUAUGAAGACUAUAAAUAAGUUCUCAAAAACUUGUAUAUGCUUUAGAUAUUGAACCCAUUGGAUACUUUUAUAUCAAUUUUGUCAAGUGACAACAUUCAAUAUCAGAUGUAUGACAUUUUCUAGUGCCUAGAUUGCAAGUUAAAUAAACUUUGCGCUUACCAAGAUGCAUCAUUCCACUUUUCACUUGAUAAUUAUUUCUACAUCAACAUGCUUUAAUUGAUGUAGAAUUCAUAUCCUCGUAGUUUUUUACAAUAUUCCGCGCUAUUGUAUCAAAUAUAUCGUCAACGAUAUACCAUUUUAUAUCGAUUCACAAUAUGACAUAACUUAUUGAGAUCUCAUCACUUCAUUAUUUUUAGGUACAUACCCCUCUCAUAAGGUUUCAUGAACUGUAAUGUCGUAAGCUCUUCAUGCAUGUUAUAGAAUAUAUCCUUAAGGACAUUCAAUAGGAGUAUUUACAACUCUUGUGUUGCUUCUAAUCUCCUCCUUAUGUUAGACAAAAUAACAUAUAUUUCAAUCUUUUGAAAAAUCUAUUCUUGUGCAUCAUUGUAUAUUCAUUGAUUAUAUACUGCAUAUCAAAAUAAUUAGAUGAAAAAUAUGUGGUCCUGAACCAUAAAUCAAUUGAAAUAAAAUUUAUUCAUAAUUUAUUGGUCUGAUGCAUACAAUUACUUUUGUAUGUGUGAUAUUUCAGAUCAGUACAUGGAGCUUUAUUUUCACAAGCAAUGAUUUCAUAUUCUGAAAGUUAUGCUCUUAACUCAAUUAAACUGCAAGUUGACAACAAACGCACAUGUGAUUAUAUUAUAAAUGUAUCUCUUUAUCAUAUCACAUGAUAGGUGAACAGAUUCAUAUUUACCUUUUAUACUUUUCAGAAUUUGGGAAUUUGGUUCCAACUUUAGUUAAUCCAAUUAACUUAUCACUAGAACAAGCAACAUAGAGAAUUCUUAAAUAAUCUUUUAGUUCUUCAAUGUAUCUCUAUUACUCAGUAUGCACAUCUUUGAGAUGAUCAAAUUAUUCAUGCCAACUAAUUAAUUUUAUAAUACUACAUUUCAAAGGAUGUCAACAAUUAUUUUUAUAAUACACGAAAUGAGGACAAAAGUUUGUUGUAUUCAAUGUGGGAAACAUCGAAUUGAUUGAGUUCAAACAUUUGAACAAUGGACUUAUGAUUUUCUUUCCUUUUAUGUGUUGUAUUGAUAAUUAUAUAUCGAUAGAUUAAGAAUAUCAACUCGAUGAGUUUAAACUUUAGCAGUGAAUGGUUUUUUUCUGCAAAUUAUGAGUUUAGAAAUAAUAGUUGUUGAUAUUUUGUCAAAAUACAUCAGUCCC